CAAUAGCGUAUAUUUAAGUUGCUGCAGUUAAAAAGCUCGUAGUUGGAUUUCGGGUGGGAAUGGCCGGUCCGCCGUUUCGGUGUGCACUUGCUACGCCCACCUUGCUGCCGGGGACGUGCUCUUGAGUUCACGCUCGGGACACGGAGUCGGCGAGGUUAAUUUGAGUAAAUUAGAGUGUUCAAAGCAGGCCUACGCUCUGAAUACAUUAGCAUGGAAUAACACGAUAGGACUCUGGCCUAUCUUGUUGGUCUGUAGGACCGGAGUAAUGAUUAAGAGGGACAGUCGGGGGCAUUCGUAUUUCAUUGUCAGAGGUGAAAUUCUUGGAUUUAUGAAAGACGAACUACUGCGAAAGCAUUUGCCAAGGAUGUUUUCAUUAA
rnacentral:rRNA from 1 species